UGGAGUGAGAGCAAGAAACCGCCGCCAGAAAACUCACGAGACCACCAUGGAAGUCGUCUCUAGCCACGAUCUAGGUGUAAGGACUUCUUCUUGGAAAGAAGAAGACUUUUUGGGUGAUUGGAGUUCCAUUUUUCGUCAAAGAGUCAAAAAGAUCUGCGAGGAAAGAUUCUUCACAUAUUUUGUGAAGGAACUUGGCUGAAAACAUGGCCGAAAACGUGGCCGAAAACUACUGUUCCAAGAGUUCUUUCCAAGAAGGGUAAUAAGGAGCUGGUCGAGAUCAGGAGCGGACUCUAGAGCCGGUGCCAUAGACAAACCUCACCUGUUGUCCUUCAACCCUUUUUGUUUUAA